CAGGCCUGUAUGCUGAGGUCAGAGGUCAGACCUCUUAAAGGUUUCAGAUGCAGAGUGGCUGAGCACCAGUGACAGAGUGGGUGACAGAGCAGUGGCCGGCAUAAAAAGGGAUAUACAAACUGAUGACUGCCAACUGACAUUGAUUUACAUUUAAUAACUCUUUGGUCUUUUUUCAUAGUACUUGGAGCUGUAUUUCUCAACAAUCAGGCCUGAGAUAAGUGCCUAUACAGAUCCAUGUGCAUGUGUACCAUGUAUCUGUUAAAUAAAGAAAUAAAAAAACCUUU